ensembl:lncRNA
AAAAAGUGCAUGCUCUGGAAUUUGAUAUACUUGUCAUAGGUUUUUUACCCGAUUGCCACCAAACUUGGUCAACAUGAUCUCAAGACAUUGGGGAUGCAAAAUUGCCAGGGGAUUUUUGAUAUCUCGAAUGGUUUGCUCGUGGCGAGGCGUUGAAAUUAUGGCAAGAAAUGAGAAACAGGAAGUGUCUAAUAACAUCCACAUAAAUUUCCCGAUUUUAAUUACACUUCAUCAGUUUGUUCGUUGUAUGAUGCCGAUCGCAUAUAUGUGACUAUUAGGAGUCAAAGUUAUAGCGCCACCAACUGGCAGCAGGAAGUGUGUCAUUUUCAAAAUGCUUUGAAUUCAGCAUCUUCUUUUUACUCAAUUUGCUUCAAACUUCAUCAGAAUAAUGACAAAACACGGCCCAUGUAAAACUGUUGAGGGGAUAUUGAUAUCUAAUAUAGUGUUGCCAUGGCAACAUAUCAAACUGGAAUAUUUUUCUGUAUAAUAUAUUCUGAUUUUGAG